UCUGUCACUGACGCUGAGGCUCGAAAGCGUGGGUAGCGAACAGGAUUAGAUACCCUGGUAGUNCACGCCGUAAACGCUGAGUGCUAGGUGUUAGGUCCUUUCCGGGACUUAGUGCCGACGCUAACGCAUUAAGCACUCCGCCUGGGGAGUACGACCGCAAGGUUGAAACUCAAAGGAAUUGACGGGGGCCCGCACAAGCGGUGGAGCAUGUGGUUUAAUUNGAAGCAACGCGAAGAACCUUACCAGGUCUUGACAUCCCGAUGCCCGCUCUAGAGAUAGAGUUUUACUUUUUGUACAUCGGAGACAGGUGGUGCAUGGUUGUCGUCAGCUCGUGUCGUGAGAUGUUGGGUUAAGUCCCGCAACGAGCGCAACCCUUAUUGUUAGUUGCCAUCAUUAAGUUGGGCACUCUAGCGAGACUGCCGGUAAUAAACCGGAGGAAGGUGGGGAUGACGUCAAAUCAUCAUGCCCCUUAUGACCUGGGCUACACACGUGCUACAAUGGUUGGUACAACGAGUCGCAAGCCGGUGACGGCAAGCUAAUCUCUGAAAGCCAAUCUCAGUUCGGAUUGUAGGCUGCAACUCGCCUACAUGAAGUCGGAAUCGCUAGUAAUCGCGGAUCAGCACGCCGCGGUGAAUACGUUCCCCGGCCUUGUACACACCGCCCAUCACACCACGAGAGUUUGUAACACCCGAAGUCGGUGAGGUANC
rnacentral:rRNA from 1 species